CAAGGUUCGCCGUCGCGGAUCUCGGUCGCGUCGCGGUCUCGGUUGUUCCACAUCCGUCGCGGCAUAUCGGAUGAAUAUCGGGUGAUACAUACAUUAUAGUAUAUAAAAAUUUUCAAAAAAUCUGAAAAAAUUACUAAAAAUAGAAAAUAUCAUAAAAAGCACAAUUAUCAACUUAAAUUUACUAAAUACCUACAUUAUCAUAUAUAGUUACUAAUUAUUAAAUAAAAUAAUGCUGUCAUUACCAUAAGGGCCUAUAGCAUUAGCAAUAAAAAAUUUGCAUUAUUUAGAUAAUAAUAAAAAAUUUUAUUAUCUAAAUAUAUUAAAUUUUUUCUAAUCAAGUUUAAUUAUGCAAGGUAAUUUGCAUUAUUUCGAUAAUAAUAAUUUUUUUAUUAUCUAAAUAUAUUGAAUUUUUUCUAAUCAAGUUUAAUUAUGCAAGGUAAUAUGCAUUAUUUAGAUAAGAAUAAAAUUAUUUUUUUAUUAUCUAAAUAUAUUACAUUUUUUCUAAUCAAGUUUAAUUAUGCAAGGUAAUUUGCAUUAUUUCGAUAAUAAUAAAAUUUUUUUAUUAUCUAAAUAUAUUAAAUUUUUUCUAAUCAAGUUUAAUUAUGCAAGGUAAUUUAUACUUUGACAAUUUGCCCAAUUCAAUUUUUUGUUUAACUAACUGCAACAAACUCUUUUUUUUUUUUUUUACUUUUUCUAAUUAAUUUACCUAAAAUCAUUUUAACCAACAUAAUUGAGAUACAUGAAAAUAAAUAAAUUACAUUUAUGAUCAUUAAAAUGUAUCCAAAUAAUCACUACAUAUUUUCUAACUAAAAUUUAGAUAAGAGACUACUAAUACAAAUUAAUCAUAUACUUAAUAAUAUGUAAAAAGUGUCAAAAUGCAUUACUUAAAUUUACAAAUAUCUAAAUAUCAUGUCUGAAUGCUAAGUUAAAAAAAUUAAAAUUGAUAAGUUAUUUUGAAAAAAGAUACGGACCUUUUGACUGAUGCUUGGAUUUAAGAUUAGGAACCUAAUCUCUUAAUUACUUGGGCCAAAGCUGGACUUUACAUGCUUCUAAUUUUCCUUCAAUUUUUUUCCCUAUGGCUGGGUUCGGUACAAAAGCCCAUCUUCUGUUUAGUGCAGCCGCAAGUCCUUCAGUUUGUUUAGUGCACUUGCGGAUUCUUCCCUUCGGUUUGUUUAGUGCAGCCGCAAGUCACUGGAUUCUUCCCUUCAAUUUUAGCCAUUUCUUCCUUUGACUCUUCCCUUCAUUUUUUUUCCCAAUUUCCGUUGAUCAGUUUUUUCACCUCCUUCACGGCCAGAUAAGGUGGAAAUUGAAGAGCCGGCCGUCACCUUUACUCUUUCUUUUGCUUUCCCUUUCCCGCUAUUGUUGUCUUCCUCCAACAGCCUGCCGUCACCUCUGUUUUGAGCCGCAGCCGGACGAUGAAAAAAUUGCAGAACCGAUCGGCUUGUUUCUCCAGCCGGCCGUCACCUUUAUUCUGGAGUGAACCUCAAAAACUAGUGAUGGAUUGCAGAAAUUGCAGAACGAUGAAGAAAUUGCAGAAAUUGCAGAACGAUGAAGAAAUUGCAGAAAUUGCAGAACGAUGAAGAAAUUGCAGAAAUUGCAGAACGAUGAAGAAAUUGCAGAAAUUGCUGGUAUGCUUCUCUUUAUCCCCACUUUUUCCUUGUCUUUGUGGCUGCAAAAUGAAACAAUAAAGCAUGGGAAAAGA
rnacentral:lncRNA from 1 species